rnacentral:misc_RNA from 1 species
AAGUCGUAACAAGGUCUCCGUAGGUGAACCUGCGGAGGGAUCAUUACAGAGUUCAUGCCCUCACGGGUAGAUCUCCCACCCUAUGUUAUCAUACCUUUGUUGCUUUGGCGGGCCGUUACCUCACGGCUAACCACCGGCUCCGGCUAGUGUGUGCCCGCCAGAGGACCCCAAACUCUGAAUAUUAGUGUCGUCUGAGUACUAUAUAAUAGUUAAAACUUUCAACAACGGAUCUCUUGGUUCUG